rnacentral:rRNA from 1 species
ACAUGCCUACAAAAUAGAAUUAAUGCAACAUAUCCCAUUAGAACUCCGUAGUUAAGCGUGCUUAGGAUGGAGUAGUACUAGAAUGGAUGACUGCAUGAGAAGUCCUAGUGUUUUACAUGCC